GUGGGGAAUAUUGCACAAUGGGCGAAAGCCUGAUGCAGCGACGCCGCGUGAGCGAAGAAGUAUUUCGGUAUGUAAAGCUCUAUCAGCAGGGAAGAUAAUGACGGUACCUGACUAAGAAGCACCGGCUAAAUACGUGCCAGCAGCCGCGGUAAUACGUAUGGUGCAAGCGUUAUCCGGAUUUACUGGGUGUAAAGGGAGCGCAGGCGGUGCGGCAAGUCUGAUGUGAAAGCCCGGGGCUCAACCCCGGUACUGCAUUGGAAACUGUCGUACUAGAGUGUCGGAGGGGUAAGCGGAAUUCCUAGUGUAGCGGUGAAAUGCGUAGAUAUUAGGAGGAACACCAGUGGCGAAGGCGGCUUACUGGACGAUAACUGACGCUGAGGCUCGAAAGCGUGGGGAGCAAACAGGAUUAGAUACCCUAGUAGUCC
rnacentral:rRNA from 1 species